GAUUUCUGGCUUGGUUCGCUCGACCCGCCACGGUUACGUGUGUGAGUGUCGGUGUGGAUCUGCCAUCACUUCUAGGUGACGUAGAUACUCUUCAUUGAGCCGUUUAUGUUUGUCUAGAUCUUUUACUUUGAAAAAAUUAGAGUGUUUCAAGCAGGCGUUUGCUAUGAAUACAUUAGCAUGGAAUAAUAAUUUAGGACUUCGGUUCUAUUUUGUUGGUUUCUAGGACUGAAGUAAUGAUUGAUAGGGAUAGUUGGGGGUGCUAGUAUUCAGCGGCCAGAGGUGAAAUUCUCGGAUUCGCUGAAGACUAACUUAUGCGAAAGCAUU
rnacentral:rRNA from 1 species